rnacentral:snRNA from 1 species
CUCGCUUCUAGGCCUUUUGGCUAAGAUCAAGUGUAGUACCCCAUUUGAUGGAUAAGGAAACUGAGGUGUUCAUGGAAAUGAAGUAGCUGACCUAAGAUCACACAGGUGUUGAGUAGUGGAGUCAGGAUUUGGAUCCAGCAGCCUGACUCCUAAGAUCAUUACACUUUUCAGAGAAUGAAAACAUA